UACGGAAGGUCCGGGCGUUAUCCGGAUUUAUUGGGUUUAAAGGGAGCGUAGGCUGUCUAUUAAGCGUGUUGUGAAAUUUACCGGCUCAACCGGUGGCUUGCAGCGCGAACUGGUCGACUUGAGUAUGCAGGAAGUAGGCGGAAUUCAUGGUGUAGCGGUGAAAUGCUUAGAUAUCAUGACGAACUCCGAUUGCGCAGGCAGCUUACUGUAGCAUAACUGACGCUGAUGCUCGAAAGUGCGGGUAUCAAACAGG
rnacentral:rRNA from 2 species